AUGAACGCUGGCGGCGUGCCUAAUACAUGCAGGUCGAGCGAACAGAUGAGGAGCUUGCUCCUCUGACGUUAGCGGCGGACGGGUGAGUAACACGUGGAUAACCUACCUAUAAGACUGGGAUAACUUCGGGAAACCGGAGCUAAUACCGGAUAAUAUAUUGAACCGCAUGGUUCAAUAGUGAAAGACGGUUUUGCUGUCACUUAUAGAUGGAUCCGCGCCGCAUUAGCUAGUUGGUAAGGUAACGGCUUACCAAGGCAACGAUGCGUAGCCGACCUGAGAGGGUGAUCGGCCACACUGGAACUGAGACACGGUCCAGACUCCUACGGGAGGCAGCAGUAGGGAAUCUUCCGCAAUGGGCGAAAGCCUGACGGAGCAACGCCGCGUGAGUGAUGAAGGUCUUCGGAUCGUAAAACUCUGUUAUUAGAGAAGAACAAAUGUGUAAGUAACUUUGCACGUCUUGACGGUACCUAAUCAGAAAGCCACGGCUAACUACGUG
rnacentral:rRNA from 1 species